GGAGGGCGCAGUGGUCGUGACGCAGCCUUUGGCGGGAGCCUGGGUGAAACGGCCUCUGGGGCAGAUCUUGGUGGUAGUAGCAAAUAUUCAAAUGAGAACUUGAAGACCGAAGUGGAGAAAGGUUCCAUGUGAACAGCAGUUGGACAUGGGGUAGUCGACCCUAAGAGAUAGGGAAACUCCGUCUCAAAGUGCCCAAUCUUGGGCCGUCUAUCGAAAGGUAAUCGGGUUAAUAUUCCCGAACCGGAACA
rnacentral:rRNA from 1 species